rnacentral:rRNA from 1 species
UCUGGUGGUAAUACUGAUGGUGUUCUACCUGAUCCCAUUCCGAACUCAGAAGUAAAAUCCAUCAAGGCCGAUGAUAGUGGCUUUGCUGCGAAAGUAGGUAGCCGCCAGUU